GGCGUGUCAGAGAAGGAGCCAAGGGGGGGGACUUACACAACAUCCAACUCCUGUUUGGAGUGCUCCUGCAGGACCCGAUCCAGGCCAGAGUUACGCCAAGAAAAAGACAUAUAUAAUCCCCUGUGUGAAGUAGAAAGAUCUUCACUUGUCUUAAUCAUUAAUCACCUAAGGAGAAAAACAAUAGACUGCAGUGAGUUGAUAAGGGCCAUAGCUACAUAUGUCAUAAUGAAGAACAGCUGGAGCAAUAUACUAUUUCUGAAACUGGCUUUUAUCUCGUCUGAACAAUUAAAUAAAAUGCAGAAAUUAUAAGAUUUGUAACUACGCUAAUUGAAGGGUGCCAUCUUCCAGAAGCAGCUGAGAGACAUGUCCAGUCAUCCAAGAACACUAAAGUUAUUUCUUAACAUCUCUGUCUAUCCAAAAGCUCAUUCAUAGUCACAGCUAAAAAUGCUAUCCCCCUUUCAAACUGAGGUCUGGCUU